rnacentral:rRNA from 1 species
AAAUUUGAAAUCUGGCUCCUAGAGUCCGAAUUGUAAUUUGCAGAGGAUGCUUUUGAUGCGGUGCCUUCCGAGUUCCCUGGAACGGGACGCCAUAGAGGGUGAGAGCCCCGUCUGGUCGGAUGCCAAAUCUCUGUAAAGCUCCUUCGACGAGUCGAGUAGUUUGGGAAUGCUGCUCUAAAUGGGAGGUAUAUGUCUUCUAAAGCUAAAUAUUGGCCAGAGACCGAUAGCGCACAAGUAGAGUGAUCGAAAGAUGAAAAGCACUUUGAAAAGAGGGUUAAAAAGUACGUGAAAUUGUUGAAAGGGAAGCGCCUAUGACCAGACUUGGGCCCGGUGAAUCAUCCAGCGUUCUCGCUGGUGCACUUUGCCGGGCACAGGCCAGCAUCAGUUUGCCUUGGGGGAAAAAGGCUUUGGGAAUGUAGCUCCUUCGGGAGUGUUAUAGACCAUUGCAUAAUACCCUGGGGCGGACUGAGGUUCGCGCAUCUGCAAGGAUGCUGGCGUAAUGGUCAUCAGCGACCCGUCUUGAAACACGGACCAAGGAGUCGUCUUCGUAUGCGAGUGUUCGGGUGUAAAACCCCUACGCGUAAUGAAAGUGAACGCAGGUGAGAGCUUCGGCGCAUCAUCGACCGAUCCUGAUGUUCUCGGAUGGAUUUGAGUAAGAGCAUACGGGGCCGGACCCGAAAGAAGGUGAACUAUUCCUGUAUAGGGUGAAGCCAGAGGAAACUCUGGUGGAGGCUCGCAGCGGUUCUGACGUGCGAAUCGAUCGUCAA